AUACGGAGGAUCCAAGCGUUAUCCGGAUUUAUUGGGUUUAAAGGGUGCGCAGGCGGAAUGAUAAGUCGGUGGUGAAAUCUUACGGCUCAACUGUAAAACUGCCAUUGAUACUGUCGUUCUUGAGUAUAGUUGAAGUGGGCGGAAUGUGUCAUGUAGCGGUGAAAUGCAUAGAUAUGACACAGAACACCGAUUGCGAAGGCAGCUUACUGGGCCGUUACUGACGCUGAUGCACGAAAGCGUGGGGAUC
rnacentral:rRNA from 1 species